CCUACGGGAGGCAGCAGUGAGGAAUAUUGGUCAAUGGUCGGGAGACUGAACCAGCCAAGCCGCGUGAGGGAUGAAGGUACAGAGUAUCGUAAACCUCUUUUGGCAGGGAACAAAGGCGGGGACGUGUCCCCGGAUGAGUGUACCUGAAGAAAAAGCAUCGGCUAACUCCGUGCCAGCAGCCGCGGUAAUACGGAGGAUGCGGGCGUUAUCCGGGUUUAUGGGGGUUAAAGGGUGCGCAGGCGGUCUGUUAAGUCAGCGGUCAAAGCCCGGGGUUAAACCCCGGCCCGCCGUUGAAACUGGCAGUCUCGAGUUGGAGAGAAGUAUGCGGAAUGCGCGGUGUAGCGGUGAAAUGCAUAGAUAUCGCGCAGAACUCCGAUUGCGAAGGCAGCAUGCCGGCUCCACACUGACGCUGAGGCACGAAAGCGUGGGUAUCGAACAGGAUUAGAUACCCGAGUAGUC
rnacentral:rRNA from 1 species